GGGGUUGUGGCUCAAUGGCAGAGCAUGUGCCUAGCAUGUACGAGGUCCUGGGUUUGAGUCUCAGCACCA
rnacentral:tRNA from 1 species